GAUGAACGCUGGCGGCGUGCCUAAUACAUGCAAGUCGAGCGAACGGACGAGAAGCUUGCUUCUCUGAUGUUAGCGGCGGACGGGUGAGUAACACGUGGAUAACCUACCUAUAAGACUGGGAUAACUUCGGGAAACCGGAGCUAAUACCGGAUAAUAUUUUGAACCGCAUGGUUCAAAAGUGAAAUACGGUCUUGCUGUCACUUAUAGAUGGAUCCGCGCUGCAUUAGCUAGUUGGUAAGGUAACGGCUUACCAAGGCAACGAUGCAUAGCCGACCUGAGAGGGGGAUCGGCCACACUGGAACUGAGACACGGUCCAGACUACUAAGGGAGGCAGCAGUAGGGAAUCGUCCGCAAUGGGCGAAAGCCUGACGGAGCAACGCCGCGUGAGUGAUGAAGGUCUUCGGAUCGUAAAACUCUGUUAUUAGGGAAGAACAUAUGUGUAAGUAACUGUGCACAUCUUGACGGUACCUAAUAAGAAAGCCACGGCUAACUACGUG
rnacentral:rRNA from 1 species